rnacentral:lncRNA from 1 species
CUUAGCUGCCACAGAGUUUUCUGCUCUGUCCUUACUGAAUGCUUCCACCAACAAGGCCAUAUACCUCAUGAAUCCCAUCUAGGCAGUCCACCUCAGCAAGGGAAGGAUUACAUUGAACAGUGACCACUGGCAGUCCAGCAUCAUGGGAACACCGGAAUGGAGAUAGCAAGGUUCCAACUGAAGGGUUUAGAAGAAAAAGUCUCCUCAUCAACAGAAGUCGUAGAAAUGGAAGAGAGAGAGGACUUCAGGCCAGAUGGGACGCAUUAGACAGGAAGAGAAACUUGCAUGAGAACAAUUUAUAGGAACAAUGAAUUGGGAAAGCCAAAAGAGUCAGCUAUCCUGCCAGACAUCCAGUGGCAAUGCAAAGUUAGGACAACUGGGAUGGCCCAGUGGAUGACCUUGGCAUCUUUGAUGUCUGACCAAGCUCUUAAGAACUCCACUGCACCUUCUUCAGCCACACAAAUAAAUUGUUCUCAUCCCCCA